rnacentral:rRNA from 1 species
AUUGAACGCUGGCGGCAGGCCUAACACAUGCAAGUCGAAUGGUAACAGGAAACAGCUUGCUGUUUCGCUGACGAGUGGCGGACGGGUGAGUAAUGUCUGGGAAACUGCCUGAUGGGAGGGGGAUAACUACUGGAAACGGUAGCUAAUACCGCAUAACGUCGCAAGACCAAAGAGGGGACCUUCGGCCUCUUGCCAUCAGAUGUGCCAGAUGGGAUUAGCUAGUAGGUGGGGUAACGGCUCACCUAGGCGACGAUCCCUAGCUGGUCUGAGAGGAUGACCAGCCACACUGGAACUGAGACACGGUCCAGACUCCUACGGGAGCAGCAGUGGGGAAUAUUGCACAAUGGGCGCAAGCCUGAUGCAGCCAUGCCGCGUGUAUGAAGAAGGCC